GACGAACGCUGGCGGCGUGCUUAACACAUGCAAGUCGAACGAUGAAGCCGGAGCUUGCUCUGGUGAAUUAGUGGCGAACGGGUGAGUAACACGUGAGUAACCUGCCCUUGACUCUGGGAUAACUGCGGGAAACUGUAGCUAAUACCGGAUACGACCCUCGGAGGCAUCUCCUGGGGGUGGAAAGAAUUUCGGUCAAGGAUGGACUCGCGGCCUAUCAGCUAGUUGGUGAGGUAAAGGCUCACCAAGGCGACGACGGGUAGCCGGCCUGAGAGGGUGACCGGCCACACUGGGACUGAGACACGGCCCAGACUCCUACGGGCGGCAGCAGUAGGGAAUAUUGCACAAUGGGCGCAAGCCUGAUGCAGCAACGCCGCGUGAGGGAUGACGGCCUUCGGGUUGUAAACCUCUUUUAGCAGGGAAGAAGCGAAAGUGACGGUACCUGCAGAAAAAGCACCGGCUAACUACGUGCCAGCCGCCGCAGUAA
rnacentral:rRNA from 1 species